CUCCUCCUCCUCUAGCUGCUGUGUCCUCCAUCACUCCAUUUCCUUUGAUUCUGUUUCUCCUUGAGGACGGAUUCAGGCCUUCGUGCAGAGAAGAUCUUCUGGUUUCUCUUCAUCCUUCUUUGAAAAGAAGACAAGGUGAGCAAGGAUUUCGAGGCAACAUAAAGAAGAAACCCCAGGAAAACCUGCCGUACUCCUCGACCCCUUGAUCCCAUUCCCACAUGGAAGCAAAAGCCAAAGGAGCAUCGAAAUCUGCCUCAAAAGCAGAGAAGAAGGAGGCAGUGCCACCGCCAAAACCAGACCCCGUCUCUGCUGAACCUGCAGAGCCUGAGAAUCCAGCGGAAGAUGGAGCAACCAACCAACAAGGGGAGGCGGAGUCUGCAGGAAGUAGCUGUGAAGCCUUAGAAAGUUUAAAGCCUUUCCUGAUUGGAGGAGCAGUCAUUGCCCUUGGAGCUGUAUUGGUGGGCGUAAUCUUAUUAGCCAAGAAAAACUGACCCAAAGCCUAAGAUUGGUUGUUAAACAGUGGAACUGAUUAAUUCACAAACUAUUAAAGUUUAUAUAAAGGGGUGGGGAGUCACUAGCGGAGUGAACAUAUGUCCUCUUUGUCCUGAACAUGUGCUGGCCAGGAUUUCCAAAUUGCCAAAAAUUUCCGGGUUUUGGCUUUGAUUUUGACUGAAUGCAGCAUGCAGUCCGACCAAUCAUGGCCCACGAGAAGUUGGGAUCUAAACAGAACGGCCAAAGCAAUGCAAAUUCAGAUAGAUACAAUGUAUGAAGACUAAAGAGACUGCUUCAACAGAAAAACAAAGUCAAAACCCGGGAAUUUUAAGCAAUGUAGAAAUCCUGACCAGGACAUGUGGUGGAAAACGAGAACGUGUGGUCACUCUACACACUAGGCAUCUUAAUUUUAUGCUGUACUUUAAUUUCAGUACUUGUGGUGACAUUCCUGCCAGCUAUUAAAGCAAGCUAGAGAUGCAUUUAGACCAAGCACUUUUCAUAUAACAUUCAACCUAGCUGUAGCCAAUGCACAUUUCCACCAAACUUUCCUCCAAGUCACUCUUCCUGCUGGUUGACACCUAAAACACCCUCAUCCGUGCCAUAAUGCUGAGAUUAAACCAAUUAUCCAAAAAAUAUUACAGUUAAUUUUCAAGCUGGACUUAAACCCAUAAGUGCCAACUGUAAGAUACAAUAACGUUAAGAUGCACGAGUCAAGGUUAAAAAUACAGAAUUUUUCUUGAUGUCAAUAAAAGCAAUUGGUUUCAUACUUAAAUGCUUGUGCAAAUCCAUAUGUACAUAUCAAGCCACUGACAUCUAUUACAGUUAGGCCUGUAUUGUUGAAAGGUGUAGAAAUGUAAAGAAAAUCUAAAUUAUUUCAAAUAUAAUAUAGGUUCAUUAUGUAUUUGACAUCAGACAUCGAACUAACACAGGUCAUUCAAUAAUUCAAUAAUCUUGCCUGUGAAUUGCAUACUGUCGAGCAACUGUGACAUUUCAAGAUCUUAGUUUCUUGUUUGAACGAUGUUGACGAUUUUCUGAAGUGGGCCAAUGGAAAUAGGUGUGUGAUGCAACAUAGAUGCAACGUAGAUUAUGACGGCUCUCGGCCAAUAGCUUCAAUUUCGCAGUUACACUAUGAUGAGCGCUACACACUACAGAAACAAUCCCUAAAUGCAUGCAGACACAAACAAUAAACACUCACACGUCACAUGACAUACUAUUACAGAAAAUGAAUUUUUCUUUAAAGUGCGUAUAUAAUGCAAUAAUUCAAAUAGAAUUCUGUAUUUAAAAGAAAGAAGAUUGUGUAUUAGUUGUGUUACUGAGAGUAAAGAUGAGGCUGAGGAUGUGGCAACAUGGUGGUUGUCUUGGUGAUGAUAAUGAUGAUGAUGAUUAUGAUUUUAUUUGUUUGUUCUAAUGAAGUUUACUUGUUCCCCUAAUGUUGCCUCUUUCCUCCUGCCAUAUGUAUUUAUUUUGCACACAACCUUGCUUGCUGUAUUUCCGCUGUUCCUCGUGUGAAUUAAAACAAGAUGGCUCCCUUGUGGCUUGAUGACCUUAUUAAAGGACAAUGAAGCAUA